rnacentral:rRNA from 1 species
UACGAAGGGGGCUAGCGUUGCUCGGAAUCACUGGGCGUAAAGGGUGCGUAGGCGGGUCUUUUAAGUCAGGGGUGAAAUCCUGGAGCUCAACUCCAGAACUGCCUUUGAUACUGAAGAUCUUGAGUUCGGGAGAGGUGAGUGGAACUGCGAGUGUAGAGGUGAAAUUUCGUAGAUAUUCGCAAGAACACCAGUGGCGAAGGCGGCUCACUGGCCCGAUACUGACGCUGAGGCACGAAAAGCGUGGGGGAGCAAACAGG